CUGGCUCUAUGCUCGCCCACCGAGCUGUUGGCUCUCAAUCCUCCUCGGUUGCCUUGAGGCAGUAUGGUUCCCUUAUAUGCUAGUUCUUGUGUCGCCUACCAUUCAAGGGAAGACGGCCACACGACAGUCACCCUCCACCCGGCUCCCCCAAAGGGCGUUGAGGGACAACGAUACACCCCCUAUGUUCUAUUGAUCCCUCACCGAUCAUGUGGCCCCAGGGACGCACAACGCUCUCGUACCCAGUGCACGCUGCGGACGAGGACUCACGUCAAGUACUAAGAGAAGCCCCGACCCCACGAGCAACGACCACGCCUGCCCCUCGGCUACCUAGGCGGCACGGGGGUGCGCGACGUCCCUAAGGAUGCUACCUGGUUAAUCUACUAGUAGUCAUAUGCUUGUCUC
rnacentral:misc_RNA from 1 species